AUUGAACGCUGGCGGCAGGCCUAACACAUGCAAGUCGAACGAGUGGCGGACGGGUGAGUAAUGGCUGGGAAACUGCCCGAUGGAGGGGGAUAACUACUGGAAACGGUAGCUAAUAGCGCAUAACAUCGGAAUGGCCCAGAUGGGAUUAGCUAGUAGGUGGGGUAACGGCUCACCUAGGCGACGAUCCCUAGCUGGUCUAGUGGGCUGACCAGCCACACUGGAACUGAGACACGGUCCCGACUCCUACGGGAGGCAGCAGUAGGGAAUCUUGCACAAUGGGCGCAAGCCUGAUGCAGCCAUGCCGCGUGUAUGAAGAAGGCCUUCGGGUUGUAAAGUACUUUCAGCGAGGAGGCGUUACUCGCAGAAGAAGCACCGGCUAACUCCGUGCCAGCAGCCGCGGUAAUAC
rnacentral:rRNA from 1 species